rnacentral:rRNA from 1 species
GACAGAGGUGCCGAGCGUUAGGCGGAAUCACUGGGCUUAAAGCGUGUGUAGGCGGACCGUUAAGUGUCUUGUGAAAUCCCCCGGCUCAACCGGGGAAUUGCUGGGCAUACUGGCGGUCUUGGGCAGUCUAGGGGCAGAUGGAACAAGUGGUGGAGCGGUGAAAUGCGUAGAUAUCACUUGGAACGCCAAAGGUGAAGACAGUCUGCUGGGGACUUGCUGACGCUGAGACACGAAAGCCAGGGGAGCGAACGGG